rnacentral:rRNA from 1 species
AUUGAACGCUGGCGGCAUGCUUUACACAUGCAAGUCGAACGGCAGCGCGGGCUUCGGCCUGGCGGCGAGUGGCGAACGGGUGAGUAAUACAUCGGAACGUGCCCAGUAGUGGGGGAUAGCUCGGCGAAAGCCGGAUUAAUACCGCAUACGACCUGAGGGUGAAAGCGGGGGAUCUUCGGACCUCGCGCUAUUGGAGCGGCCGAUGGCAGAUUAGCUAGUUGGUGGGGUAAAGGCCUACCAAGGCGACGAUCUGUAGCUGGUCUGAGAGGACGACCAGCCACACUGGGACUGAGACACGGCCCAGACUCCUACGGGAGGCAGCAGUGGGGAAUUUUGGACAAUGGGCGAAAGCCUGAUCCAGCAAUGCCGCGUGUGUGAUGAAGGCCUUCGGGUUGUAAAGCACUUUUGGCGGGAACGAAAAGGACUGUGCCAAUACCACGGUCCGAUGACGGUACCCGCAGAAUAAGCACCGGCUAACUACGU